AGCUAAAUUGGCUGGCUGCUUUUAUUUGAGUGGUUUUUGCCUUUACUGCUUUUUUGCUUUGUGCAAUGAGAGUUACCUACUAUAUAAGUCACAGAUGACUUGAUAGACUUUGAAUCGAUGACCGAAUUGUGGGAUCGUCAAUAUCUGCCUGUCUGCAUAUACUGUUUUUUUAGUUCGUGAAAAUGAAGCAACAUUUGUUUGUCAUCGACCUUUCAUGGGAAUCUAUCUUGGGGCUAUAUGGCGGAGUGAAUGCUUUUCUCUUUGAUGCAGUGAAACAAUUUCAAUUGCUGCGCAUUAGUUUAUUUUAUUGGGACUAGCAAUGAUAGUUGCUGUGCUUUUUUGUUUUGUUAAUGGAAAUCAUUAAUACAAGGCUAUAAGUUGCUUCCCUUUUAGUGUUUUGGAGAGCUUUUUACAAUAAUACAUCAAAUUAGUUUCGUUGAAUGAUUGAUAUGCACGGGUUUCUUGUUUCUAUAGGCUCAAAACACUGCACUUCUGAUGGAUUCUCUCCUGCAGCUUCCUUUGAAGUGGCAAGCGCAUGUGGGGAGCUGUUUUUCUUGUUUCGGAGUAUCUUGUUACUUGAUAGGGACAACUGACAAGACCUGCUUGGGGAAAUCUUUAUUUAGAUCAAAAAAAAUAGUAGAGGCUGAAUAUGAACCUGUAGUAGGGUGCCAGUGAAAGCUCUCUACUUGAAGUGAAAGCAUGUACUCUCUUACUGGAUACCUAGUUGCAUCGCGGCAAGUGGUGAAGAGGAAGGGGUUUUGUGCAUGAAUGCCAUGGGAAAGAGGAUAUAUGCAAAGAAUGUGGGGAGGGGAUGGUGGAGGCAUAGCCAUAUGAUUUGUACGACCAGUGGAAGUGGGACUCUCUAUCUCGCUUGACACGUUCUGUCUAUGCUGCUUUCUGGAAUUCGGUCUUAUCUUCUUCUUGGCUUCUAAUAAUUACCGACAAAGGCAUGCAUCACCACUUGGUUACUGUGUUAAUUUCGGUGUUCAUAUUUUAUGCAUAUGAUUUUACUAAAUGUACCAGCUAAAUUCUUAGCUUUGUAACCAUUUGCUUUUUUCUUUUUGGUUUGUUCUUAUCUCCUUCCUGUGUAACCCACACCUUUAUGUCAACCAAGAUUGGGAACUUUUAGAGCCAUCU